AUGGCAGACGCGCGUACGGCCGACGAGCCUCGGGCCGCCGAGCCUCGGUCUGCCGAGUCUUCUCCCCACGAGACUCCGGAGCCCAGACGGGGUCACGCUGAGUCGGAGCCGAGCCCAUGGGAGGACUGGACGGAGUCGAGUGCACAUGGUUGUGUUCAAGGUGGAGACUAUAGUCCUGAUAGCUAUAGCGAGGGUGAGUGGGUUGAGGGGUGCAAAGUCUACCAGCAUGGUCGUACAAAGCUCCUGCCCACCCCAGCGACCCCCGACCAGAGGUGGUUGAUUGCACCUAACGGGGAGAAUUCUUGGACACACGAAGAUGGUGUCCGCAGGCCCAACACUGUCCUUGGUGUGAUUUGUCGCCAGUGCUUCCCGGGGUGGGUCAUGUUGCCCGGUGAGGGCCGGGUUCCAGAGCUAGGAAUGACCUGGGAGCACUACUUGGCUGCCCCGGCCCCGCCGGAGCAUAGGGUCGGCGAUGUCGAGUGCGACACGGUGGCCGACAUUGUGAUCACCACGUUUUGGACCUUCUACAAGUGUGCUGAGGGACAGGAGGAGGCGGCGGCUUGGGUUAUCGACGCUGAGUGCAGGCGCCUACUUGGAAACUUUCGGCACGAGGCUCGGACGCAGGCUGUUCGAGACUACUUAUCACAGACUGGUAUUAGGAGGAGAAAAGAGAAGUGCCGGGACAAGUAUCUGAGUAAGGAGAAGUACAUGAAGGUGCCUCCGAGAUGGUGUGCGGACAAGAUGGACUGUUGGGAGGUGUCCAAGUGUUUUGCUUAA
rnacentral:rRNA from 1 species